AUCUUAGAAGCCUUGGAGUUGGAAGGUGCUCAUAAAGGCAAUCUAGCCCAGCUCCCCUGCAACGAACAGAGACACCUACAGCUCCAUCAGAUCCAGAGCCUGUCCUGAGAAGUGCACGGUAUAUCCAGGUCACUGGAAAACAGUCAAGGAUUUGCAUCUCAUCCUGUUCGUGUCAGACCCAGAUGGACUGCACCUGGCCAGGAAAUGAAGAGCCUUGAAGAACAAUGGCAUCCACUAAGGAUAAAGUCAUGGUGAUGAAAUAAUUGUUUCUCAAUGUAAUUGGAGCUGAAGCAGAGAAGAUUCAUGUCUUGUUCUCCCCAACAGAACAUGAAGGAAAUGAAGGAGAGCUAAGAACACAAAGAAUGGCACUUGCAGGAGAGGAAAAAUGUCUAUGUUUAGAAAGAGCAGCAUUUCCCACAGAGUAACCCACAUAUGGAAAGAAGUUCUAACAGAUGAAAAAGAAAUGACUACGAGAAAAUAAUAGAAGUGUGAGAAUCCUCAAGAAGAAAGUCUCACAGACUUAAUUACUGCUACACAGUGAGCUACUGCCACUAGGCGGCAGAAUGAUUCUCUUUGCCAGGGCAACGAGUUAGCUGACUUAAAUUCCUACUAAAAAGCUACAAAAAUGUGUUAAUAAUAUUGUCUGCUGCCCUACAUUUGUCUCUUAAAACCUUUAAAUCUGUAAUGGAAUUGUAAAUGAUUCUGUAAGAAUUGUACACUUGUUAAUGCCAGUCAUACC